AAUAGAUACCCAGGUAGUCCACGCCGUAAACGAUGAGUGCUAAGUGUUAGGGGGUUUCCGCCCCUUAGUGCUGCAGCUAACGCAUUAAGCACUCCGCCUGGGGAGUACGGUCGCAAGACUGAAACUCAAAGGAAUUGACGGGGGCCCGCACAAGCGGUGGAGCAUGUGGUUUAAUUCGAAGCAACGCGAAGAACCUUACCAGGUCUUGACAUCCCGCUGACCGUUCUAGAGAUAGAUCUUUCCCUUCGGGGACAGCGGUGACAGGUGGUGCAUGGUUGUCGUCAGCUCGUGUCGUGAGAUGUUGGGUUAAGUCCCGCAACGAGCGCAACCCUUGAUCUUAGUUGCCAGCAUUCAGUUGGGCACUCUAAGGUGACUGCCGGUGAUAAACCGGAGGAAGGUGGGGAUGACGUCAAAUCAUCAUGCCCCUUAUGACCUGGGCUACACACGUGCUACAAUGGGCGGUACAGAGGGUCGCAACCCCGCGAGGGUGAGCUAAUCCCAUAAAACCGUUCUCAGUUCGGAUUGUAGGCUGC
rnacentral:rRNA from 1 species